rnacentral:RNase_P_RNA from 1 species
GAAGAAGGCCAGGUGAUCGCUCCCCACCGCCAGGUGGGGGGAGGAAAGUCCGGGCUCCAUAGAGCGGGGUGCUGGAUAACUUCCAGUGGGGGUGACCCUAAGGAAAGUGCCACAGAAAACAAACCGCCAGGGCCGCACACGGAAUGGCUGGCAAGUGUGCACCGUGCCUGGUAAGGGUGAAACGGUGCGGUAAGAGCGCACCAAUCCCGAUGGCGACACCGGGAUUCGGCAAACCCCACCCGGAGCAAGACCAAAUAGGGAGGCGCUCCCUUCCCUGAUUCGCCACAUCGAGUGGGUCAAGGUGGGAGACAGGUUGCUCGCCUGAAAGCCUCCGGGUACGGUCGCUCGAGGCAGUCGGUAACGCCUGUCCCAGAUGAAUGAUCAUCGCUGCCCAAUGUUUUGGGUGGAACAGAACCCGGCUUACGGCCUUCUCCUUCC